AAAAAAUUAAAAAGCAAAACAAUAUCUGUAAUCCUAGCAUUCAGGAAGCAGAGGUAGGGGGAUAGCUUGUGUAAAAUAAUGAGUUCCAGGACACCAACCUGGGCAACGGGGAGAGACUCUGUCUCAAAAUAAAAUUAAAUAAAACAAAUGAAAAGAAUAAGCAGACGCAGCAUGGUGGGGCCCAGGUGCACUUAAAGCUUUCAGGCAGGAAAAGCAGAAAGGCUACAUGUUCAAGAGAGCUCCAGGCUUUAGCAGAAUACCUUGUCUCAAAAAAUUAAAAUAAGUAAAGGAAACUUGGAGUUAAAUGGGUCGCAACCCUCUCCAGUACCAGCAGCAUCCUAUGAGACCUGCACACGCCUUCAGCACCGCCAGCUUCCUUCCAACAGCUGUGAGCUUUAUACCCAUUCCUAUCAAGACAAAAAAUGGAGGAAGUCUCCACCUGUAGCCACACAGGCUGCCUGGGAAGAAUAGGGUGAACCAACGAGGAACGGGGUGAACCAACGGGGAGGAACGGGGUGAACCAACGAGGAACAGGGUGAACCAACGAGGAACAGGGUGAACCAACGACGGAUGGAUACAGAAUGGAGUCCUGGUCACUUGACUCUAAACAGUCAUUUCCUGCUAGAGGUGGACGGAGCCAGACAGCAGGGCUGGCCCAGAACCCAGAACUCCAGAAGCCCAAAGGAACACUUAGUCGCUGGAGCAGCAGUGAUCUUACCGGUUUACUGGAGAUGCUUACCCACCCCGCCCCCAAGAUCUUCGGUCACUGAGCAUAUCCAGUGACUACUCCCCUCCUGCCUACAAUGUAUAACAAAGUAAAAAACGAGCAGCGUGUGCUAAAAGCGGACUCUCCCCAUCUACGGAGACUUCUUACUGCUGCAAUCACAUAGACCAGGUAACCAGGAAUGGCACCAAACUUGGAUGUUUUGGCACAGCACGGGCGCUGGAGAGAGGCCUUGGAAUGCAGCUGGACUGUGGUCGCAAGGCCAAGGAAACAGGCAAGUAAAGAGGGACCCAGUGUUCAGUGGGCAAGCUUCUGGGAGGGCGUAAAGACCAACACCCUUUAAAGUCAACAAGAUUUUUAAAAAUUAAGCAACUGGCAGUUGUGUAUUUUUUUUCAAGCAAAUAUAAACGAAGACUCGACUUCUCACCUGUUUUCAGGUUUUGAGUUUGGGGCCUUCUAAGAUCUAUGGAUGGG
rnacentral:lncRNA from 1 species